UGACUGUUGACGUGACUAUACAUGCAAGUCGAACGAACUCUGGUAUUGAUUGGUGCUUGCAUCAUGAUUUACAUUUGAGUGAGUGGCGAACUGGUGAGUAACACGUGGGAAACCUGCCCAGAAGCGGGGGAUAACACCUGGAAACAGAUGCUAAUACCGCAUAACAACUUGGACCGCAUGGUCCGAGUUUGAAAGAUGGCUUCGGCUAUCACUUUUGGAUGGUCCCGCGGCGUAUUAGCUAGAUGGUGGGGUAACGGCUCACCAUGGCAAUGAUACGUAGCCGACCUGAGAGGGUAAUCGGCCACAUUGGGACUGAGACACGGCCCAAACUCCUACGGGAGGCAGCAGUAGGGAAUCUUCCACAAUGGACGAAAGUCUGAUGGAGCAACGCCGCGUGAGUGAAGAAGGGUUUCGGCUCGUAAAACUCUGUUGUUAAAGAAGAACAUAUCUGAGAGUAACUGUUCAGGUAUUGACGGUAUUUAACCAGAAAGCCACGGCUAACUACGUGCCAGCAGCCGCGGUAAUACGUAGGUGGCAAGCGUUGUCCGGAUUUAUUGGGCGUAAAGCGAGCGCAGGCGGUUUUUUAAGUCUGAUGUGAAAGCCUUCGGCUCAACCGAAGAAGUGCAUCGGAAACUGGGAAACUUGAGUGCAGAAGAGGACAGUGGAACUCCAUGUGUAGCGGUGAAAUGCGUAGAUAUAUGGAAGAACACCAGUGGCGAAGGCGGCUGUCUGGUCUGUAACUGACGCUGAGGCUCGAAAGUAUGGGUAGCAAACAGGAUUAGAUACCCUGGUAGUCCAUACCGUAAACGAUGAAUGCUAAGUGUUGGAGGGUUUCCGCCCUUCAGUGCUGCAGCUAACGCAUUAAGCAUUCCGCCUGGGGAGUACGGCCGCAAGGCUGAAACUCAAAGGAAUUGACGGGGGCCCGCACAAGCGGUGGAGCAUGUGGUUUAAUUCGAAGCUACGCGAAGAACCUUACCAGGUCUUGACAUACUAUGCAAAUCUAAGAGAUUAGACGUUCCCUUCGGGGACAUGGAUACAGGUGGUGCAUGGUUGUCGUCAGCUCGUGUCGUGAGAUGUUGGGUUAAGUCCCGCAACGAGCGCAACCCUUAUUAUCAGUUGCCAGCAUUAAGUUGGGCACUCUGGUGAGACUGCCGGUGACAAACCGGAGGAAGGUGGGGAUGACGUCAAAUCAUCAUGCCCCUUAUGACCUGGGCUACACACGUGCUACAAUGGAUGGUACAACGAGUUGCGAACUCGCGAGAGUAAGCUAAUCUCUUAAAGCCAUUCUCAGUUCGGAUUGUAGGCUGCAACUCGCCUACAUGAAGUCGGAAUCGCUAGUAAUCGCGGAUCAGCAUGCCGCGGUGAAUACGUUCCCGGGCCUUGUACACACCGCCCGUCACACCAUGAGAGUUUGUAACACCCAAAGUCGGUGGGGUAACCUUUUAGGAACCAGCCGCCUAAGGUGGGACAGAUGAUUAGGGGAAGUCGAACAAGUGCCAGACCCC
rnacentral:rRNA from 2 species